CUCUGUUCCUACCCUUCCACGAUAAGGUUGGGACUGGGCUAAGAAAGGGAGGGGGUGAGUGGUGACUGCUGAGGGCCUAGAGGGGGCACCCCAAGGUCCAGUAGGAAGAGGAUUUGGUUGGGUAGGAAGGGGAGGGGGCUUUGUCCCAGAGCGACGGGGAAGACAGGAUGCCACGCGCAAUCUGGAAAUCUCGCAACGCCCUCUCCCGGCACUAACGCAUCUCUACAUUCCCAGGGAGAAACGCGGAGUUCUCAACUGAAGCUCAAGGUGGAGAGCGAGAGAAGGAGGCGGAUUCAUGAAAUAUUUCGGAGAGAGGAGCCACGGGGCCCUGAGGGCGGCAGAAGCUGCGGCCGAGAGGAAAAGCACCAAGAACACCGCCCUGCCGGGAACUAGUUUUAAAUCCACGUCCAGGUUUUGUAUGAGCCUCGCUGGAGGAAUAUACGUUCAGGAAUGGCAAAGACCUUUCUAAAAAUCACAAAGAACCCAGAAGCCAUAAAAGAGAAGAUUGAUUAACCAAACUAUUUAAAUAUGCAGAAGUCCACGUGGCUCAAGUCACCAUCAGUUAAGCCAAAGUGCCAGUGGCCACCUGGGAACAUAUGGCUGUAACUUGUGUGAUGGACCAGAAGUGAGUCCCCCUAACAUGGAAAUCAAUCAAAAAGACCAACACCGAAUAAGAAAGUAGGCAAAA
rnacentral:lncRNA from 10 species